rnacentral:rRNA from 1 species
CACGUAGGCACCAAGCGUUGUCCGGAUUUAUGGGGCGUAAGGAGCUCGUAGGCGGUUCAGGAAGUCGGGUGUGAAAACUUUGGGCUUAACCCAAAGCGUGCAUCUGAUACUGCUGUGACUUGAGUUCGGUAGGGGAGUGGGGAAUUCCUAGUGUAGCGGUGAAAUGCGCAGAUAUUAGGAGGAACACCGGUGGCGAAGGCGCCACUCUGGGCCGAAACUGACGCUGAGGAGCGAAAGCAUGGGUAGCAAACAGG